GUGAAGAGCAAGUACCAAAAGCAGAGUCAGAGACAGGGUGGUGACGUGUGGGAUCAGUGGGGCAAAGUCUUGGUCAGUUCCAGAAUCCUACUUACCCGGCACAGAGUAUGGCUCUGAGAAGGCAUCGCCUGGUGUGUGUGAGCAUCAAAGCCCUCUCCUGGGUAAUACUUGUCCCAGGAGGGAUGAAUUACUGAUCUCAGCAGUGAUUCGUCUGGGACAUCUCUCCUCUACUGGCUGCAAGCUCCACAAGGACAGCCCAUGAGUCCCGGUCACCUGUCCCUCCAGCAUCAUAGUCUGUACAAGAAGUGUGGAAGAGGUGGCAGAGAGAGAGAAAGAGAGACAGAGAAAGAGAGAGCAUAUUCCUCUGGGUUCCUGUCAUUGGAGCUGUCACCACACUGCUUCAUAGAUGGCGUGUCCCCACCUGCCUCUCCAUCCAGACCGGGGGCACUCUGAAGGCCGGGAUGUGUCCAGAGCGGGGCACAGAGCAGGCACGUGGAGCGGAGUGUUCCCAAAGGUCACGAAGGGGGAACAUUCAAGAGAAAGAAAGCACAUGGCUCUACAGAAGGGUCAAAAGCUUUUUGCUCUGCUGGCUGGACAGUGAGGAUCAGACCCACACCCUCCCGCCUGCCCAAGCUGUGACACAGAUGAUGUGACAACCCUCAGAGAUUCUGGGAGAAUCCAUCACACUCACUGGAGCGCCACAGCCUGGGGUGUGUGGCGUCCGGCUGCCAGAGACAGAGUCACAGUGAGGCAAGGUCCACACCGCUCCUCUGAGCAGAGGGUUCCUGGCAUAGUAAGAGGGCUCCUUGCCGGCGGGUUUCCACCAUGGUGGGGACUGGACAUGCCCAGAGACAGUUGGAGGUGUCAGGGAACUGAGAGUCCCUGGGCAGGACUGUCCCUGAGUGCUCGGGAUUUGACCACUAUCAAGUUCUCAAUUUCAAAAUUCAUACACUCAA